rnacentral:rRNA from 1 species
GCCCCAGACUCCUACGGGAGGCAGCAGUGGGGAAUAUUGCACAAUGGGGGAAACCCUGAUGCAGCGACGCCGCGUGAGCGAAGAAGUAUUUCGGUAUGUAAAGCUCUAUCAGCAGGGAAGAAAAUGACGGUACCUGACUAAGAAGCCCCGGCUAAAUACGUGCCAGCAGCCGCGGUAAUACGUAUGGGGCAAGCGUUAUCCGGAUUUACUGGGUGUAAAGGGAGCGCAGGCGGCUUGGCAAGUCUGAUGUGAAAGGCUGGGGCUCAACCCCAGGACUGCAUUGGAAACUGUUAGGCUGGAGUGUCGGAGAGGUAAGCGGAAUUCCUAGUGUAGCGGUGAAAUGCGUAGAUAUUAGGAGGAACACCAGUGGCGAAGGCGGCCUGCUGGACGAUGACUGACGUUGAGGCUCGAAAGCGUGGGGAGCAGACAGGAUUAGAUACCCGAGUA